GCCCUAGUAACGGCGAGUGAAGCGGCAACAGCUCAAAUUUGAAAUCUGGCGCAAGCCCGAGUUGUAAUUUGUAGAGGAUGCUUCUGGGUAGCGACCGAUCUAAGUUCCUUGGAACAGGACGUCAUAGAGGGUGAGAAUCCCGUAUGUGACCGGCCCGCACCCUUUACGUAGCUCCUUCGACGAGUCGAGUUGUUUGGGAAUGCAGCUCUAAAUGGGAGGUAAAUUUCUUCUAAAGCUAAAUACCGGCCAGAGACCGAUAGCGCACAAGUAGAGUGAUCGAAAGAUGAAAAGUACUUUGGAAAGAGAGUUAAAAAGCACGUGAAAUUGUUGAAAGGGAAGCGCCUGCAACCAGACUUCGCGGCAGUGUUCCGCCGGUCUUCUGACCGGUUCAUUCUCUGUCGCGAGGCCAUCAUCGUCUGGGCCCGCCGGAUAAGACCUGAGGAAUGUGGCUCCCCCUCGGGGGAGUGUUAUAGCCUCUGGUGAUGCGGCGUGGCUCGGGCGAGGUCCGCGCUUCGGCAAGGAUGAUGGCGUAAUGGUUGUCGGCGGCCCGUCUUGAAACACGGACCAAGGAGUCUAACAUCUAUGCGAGUGUUCGGGUGUCAAACCCCUACGCGUAAUGAAAGUGAACGGAGGUGGGAACCGUAAGGUGCACCAUCGACCGAUCCUGAUGUCCUCGGAUGGAUUUGAGUAAGAGCAUAGCUGUUGGGACCCGAAAGAUGGUGAACUAUGCCUGAAUAGGGUGAAGCCAGAGGAAACUCUGGUGGAGGCUCGCAGCGGUUCUGACGUGCAAAUCGAUCGUCAAAUUUGGGUAUAGGGGCGAAAGA
rnacentral:rRNA from 1 species